UCAUUGAGGAUUGGAGAAGCAGAGCAGGAAAGUGGGACCGCAACAUCAAGGAGGCUCGUGAGAAGCUGGAGAUGGAGAUGGAGGCUGCACGCCAUGAGCACCAGGUCAUGCUAAUGAGACAGGAUUUGAUGAGGCGCCAAGAAGAACUUCGGAGGAUGGAAGAGCUGCACAACCAAGAGGUGCAAAAACGAAAGCAACUGGAGCUCAGGUAACUUUUCUCGAACCCUUUCCUCUGACAACUCUAAAAGGUAAUGUCUCAUUCCUCUUUCCUACUGCCAUGCUACCUCAUGCAUUUAUAAAUGUGUUGGCAAAUAUUUCCUGGCUGCUUCUCAGGUUCUUUGGAUUGGAGAUGUUUUUAGCUGCUCAUGGUU
rnacentral:lncRNA from 1 species